ACACAUGCAGUCGAGGGGUAACAGAUCUUCGGAUGCUGACGACCGGCGAACGGGUGAGUAACACGUAUGCAACUUACCCAUAACUCGGGAAUAGCCCAAAGAAAUUUGGAUUAAUACCCAAUAAUACAGGCGUACCGCAUGGUAUUCUUCGUUAAAGAAUAAUCGGUUAUGGAUAGGCAUGCGUUCUAUUAGGUAGUUGGUGAGGUAACGGCUCACCAAGCCGACGAUGGAUAGGGGAACUGAGAGGUUGUCCCCCCACACUGGUACUGAGACACGGACCAGACUCCUACGGGAGGCAGCAGUGAGGAAUAUUGGUCAAUGGACGAAAGUCUGAACCAGCCAAAUCGCGUGAAGGAAGAAGGUAUUAUGUAUCGUAAACUUCUUUUGUAAGAGAGUAAAGUGCACUACGUGUAGUGUAUUGCAAGUACCUUACGAAUAAGCAUCGGCUAAUUCCGUGCCAGCAGCCGCGGUAAUACGGAAGAUGCAAGUGUUAUCCGGAUUUAUUGGGUUUAAAGGGUGCGUAGGUGGUCUAAUAAGUCAGUGGUGAAAUCUCUUUGCUUAACAAGGAAAUUGCCAUUGAAACUGUUAGACUUGAGAAUGGACGAGGUAGGCGGAAUUCGUAGUGUAGCGGUGAAAUGCAUAGAUAUUACGAAGAACUCCAAUAGUGUAGACUGCUUACCAGACCAUAUCUGACACUAAGGCACGAAAGUGUGGGUAUCAAACAGGAUUAGAUACCCUGGUAGUCCACACAGUAAACGAUGAAUACUAACUGUUUGCGAUAUACAGCAAGUGGUCGAGCGAAAGCGUUAAGUAUUCCACCUGGGAAGUAUGCCGGCAACGGUGAAACUCAAAGGAAUUGACGGGGGCCCGCACAAGCGGAGGAACAUGUGGUUUAAUUCGAUAAUACGCGAGGAACCUUACCCG
rnacentral:rRNA from 1 species